rnacentral:rRNA from 1 species
GAUGAACGCUGGCGGCGUGCUUAACACAUGCAAGUCGAACGGUGAACGAGGGAGCUUGCUCCCUCCGGAUCAGUGGCGAACGGGUGAGUAACACGUGAGCGAUCUGCCCUGGACUCUGGGAUAAGCGUUGGAAACGACGUCUAAUACCGGAUACGAGGCGUGGGGGCAUCCCCAACGCCUGGAAAGAAUUUCGGUCCAGGAUGAGCUCGCGGCCUAUCAGGUAGUUGGUGAGGUAACGGCUCACCAAGCCUACGACGGGUAGCCGGCCUGAGAGGGUGACCGGCCACACUGGGACUGAGACACGGCCCAGACUCCUACGGGAGGCAGCAGUGGGGAAUAUUGCACAAUGGGCGCAAGCCUGAUGCGGCAACGCCGCGUGAGGGACGACGGCCUUCGGGUUGUAAACCUCUUUUAGCAGGGAAGAAGCGAAAGUGACGGUACCUGCAGAAAAAGCACCGGCUAACUACGUGCCAGCCGCCGCAGUAAAAC